rnacentral:rRNA from 1 species
AUUGAACGCUGGCGGCAUGCUUUACACAUGCAAGUCGAACGGUAACAGGGAGCUUGCUCCGCUGACGAGUGGCGAACGGGUGAGUAAUGCAUCGGAACGUGCCUAUUUGUGGGGGAUAACGCAGCGAAAGUUACGCUAAUACCGCAUACGCCCUGAGGGGGAAAGCGGGGGAUUCGUAAGAACCUCGCGCAAUUAGAGCGGCCGAUGUCGGAUUAGCUAGUUGGUGGGGUAAAGGCUCACCAAGGCGACGAUCCGUAGCGGGUCUGAGAGGAUGAUCCGCCACACUGGGACUGAGACACGGCCCAGACUCCUACGGGAGGCAGCAGUGGGGAAUAUUGGACAAUGGGCGCAAGCCUGAUCCAGCAAUGCCGCGUGUGUGAAGAAGGUCUUCGGAUUGUAAAGCACUUUCGACGGGGACGAUGAUGACGGUACCCGUAGAAGAAGCCCCGGCUAACUUCGUGCCAGCAGCCGCGGUAAU